AGUGAACGCUGGCGGUGGGCCUAACACAUGCAAGUCGAACGGAAGCACAGUAAUAGCUUGCUCUUACGGGUGGCGAGUGGCGGAUGGGUGAGGAAUACAUCGGAAUUUACUUUUUCGUGGGGGCUGGCGUAGGGAACCUUACGCUAAUACCGCAUACGACUUCCGGGUGAAAGCAGGGGAUUUUCGGAGCUUGCGCGAUUGAUUGCGGCGGUGUCGGAUUAGCGUGUUGGCGGGGUAAAGGCCCACCAGGGCGGGGAUCCGUCAUCGGUGUGGGGGGGUGAUCACGCACACAGGAACUGAGACACGGUCCAGACUCUGACGUGAGGCAGCGGUGGGGAAGAGUGGACAAUGGGCGCAAGCCUGAUCCAGCCAUACCGCGUGGGUGAAGAAGGCCUUCGGGUUGUAAAGCCCUUUUGUUGGGAAAGAAAAGCAGCAGGUUAAUACCCCGCUGUUCUGACGGUACCCAAAGAAUAAGCACCGGCUAACUUCGUG
rnacentral:rRNA from 1 species